rnacentral:rRNA from 1 species
CUUGGGUAACCUUGCCUGUAAGACUGGGAUAACUCCGGGAAACCGGGGCUAAUACCGGAUGCUUGUUUGAACCGCAUGGUUCAAACAUAAAAGGUGGCUUCGGCUACCACUUACAGAUGGACCCGCGGCGCAUUAGCUAGUUGGUGAGGUAAUGGCUCACCAAGGCAACGAUGCGUAGCCGACCUGAGAGGGUGAUCGGCCACACUGGGACUGAGACACGGCCCAGACUCCUACGGGAGGCAGCAGUAGGGAAUCUUCCGCAAUGGACGAAAGUCUGACGGAGCAACGCCGCGUGAGUGAUGAAGGUUUUCGGAUCGUAAAGCUCUGUUGUUAGGGAAGAACAAGUACCGUUCGAAUAGGGCGGUACCUUGACGGUACCUAACCAGAAAGCCACGGCUAACUACGUGCCAGCAGCCGCGGUAAUACGUAGGUGGCAAGCGUUGUCCGGAAUUAUUGGGCGUAAAGGGCUCGCAGGCGGUUCCUUAAG